rnacentral:rRNA from 1 species
GACGAACCGUGCGAACGUUGUUCGGAAUCACUGGGCUUAAAGGGCGCGUAGGCGGGCUGCCAAGUCUGGGGUGAAAUCCUCGGCUCAACCGGAGAACGGCCUCGGAUACUGGCGGUCUCGAGGGAGGUAGGGGCGUGCGGAACUAAGGGUGGAGCGGUGAAAUGCGUUGAUAUCCUUAGGAACUCCGGUGGCGAAGGCGGCACGCUGGACCUUUUCUGACGCUGAGGCGCGAAAGCCAGGAGAGCAAACGGG